rnacentral:rRNA from 1 species
AUGCUCACUGCCUGGUGGCUCUGGAAGUACCACAAUGGUUGCAUCUUUAAUAACCAAUGACCAUUAGUCUCACGCCUGGUGCAGACCAUCCAGGAGGAUGAUUGGCAAUGGGCCAAGGCUACCGCCAUUGGGUUAGCUACAUUGUUGCCGGAGAGUUAA